GACGAACGCUGGCGGCGUGCUUAACACAUGCAAGUCGAGCGGUAAGGCCCUUCGGGUACGGACGAGCGGCGAACGGGUAGGAGUAACAACGUGGGUGGACCUCGCCUCCACGCUCUGGGAUAAGCCUGGGAAACCGGGUCUAAUACCGGAUAUGACUCCAUGACGCAUGUUGUGGGGUGGAAAGCCUUGUGCGGCUGAGGAUGGGCCCGCGGCCUAUCAGCUUGUUGGUGGGGUGANGGCCUACCAAGGCGACGACGGGUAGCCGGCCUGAGAGGGCGACCGGCCACACUGGGACUGAGACACGGCCCAGACUCCUACGGGAGGCAGCAGUGGGGAAUCUUGCGCAAUGGGCGAAAGCCUGACGCAGCGACGCCGCGUGAGGGAUGACGGCCUGGU
rnacentral:rRNA from 1 species